CAAGCAGGGGAGCAGGAUGGAGUCACGGACCCAGGUCCUCAUGUCCCUGCUGCUCUGGGUGUCUGGUACCUGUGCAGACAUCGUGAUGAACCAGUCUCCAUCCUCCCUGGCUGUGUCAGCAGGAGAGAAGGUCACCAUCAGCUGCAAGUCCAGUCAGAGUCUCACUUCAGGCUCCAGUCACUACUUGGCCUGGUACCAGCAGAAACCAGGACAGGCUCCUAAACUGCUGAUCUACUUAGCAUCCACUCGGUACACUGGGGUCCCUGAUCGCUUCACAGGCAGUGGAUCUGGGACAGAUUAUACUCUCACCAUCAGCAGUGUCCAGGCUGAAGACCUGGCAGAUUACUACUGUCAGCAGGGUUAUAGUAAUUUUCCCACAGUGCUUCAGCCUCCAACAAAAACCUCCUCUGAGAUUCACCAGCUGCCUGCACUACACAUAGCCCUGUACCUGCACACUUCCACUUCCCCCUUUUGGCUGAGAGCCAGUGUGCCUGAAAUAUUGAUGAAAAUGUUUGCAGAGCCCAGCAAAAUAUAA